rnacentral:lncRNA from 1 species
UGGGUGCGGCUGCUCCGGAGGCUCAUCCCCAAUGCCACGGGCACAGGCACCUUUAGCCCUGGGGCUUCUCCAGGAUCCGAGGCCCGGACCACGGGUGACAUAUCGGUGGAGAAGCUGAACCUCGGCACUGACUCGGACAGCUCACCUCAGAAGAGCUCGCGGGAUCCUCCUUCCAGCCCAUCGAGCCUGAGCUCCCCCAUCCAGGAAUCCACUGCUCCCGAGCUGCCUUCGGAGACCCAGGAGACCCCAGGCCCCGCCCUGUGCAGCCCUGUUGGCCCGGCGCCUGCCACCGCCCUUUGUGCCCACGCUGUCCGGCCGCACCGACGUCAGCAACUUCGACGAGGAGUUCACCGGGGAGGCCCCCACACUGAGCCCGCCCCGCGACGCGCGGCCCCUCACAGCCGCGGAGCAGGCAGCCUUCCUGGACUUCGACUUCGUGGCCGGGGGCUGCUAGCCCCCUCCCCUGCCCCUGCCCCUGCCCCUGCCCGAGAGCUCUUAGUUUUUAAAAAGGCCUUUGGGAUUUGCCGGA